rnacentral:rRNA from 1 species
UACGUAGGGCGCAAGCGUUGUCCGGAAUUAUUGGGCGUAAAGAGCUCGUAGGCGGCUUGUCACGUCGGGUGUGAAAGCCCGGGGCUUAACCCCGGGUCUGCAUUCGAUACGGGCUAGCUAGAGUGUGGAAGGGGAGAUCGGAAUUCCUGGUGUAGCGGUGAAAUGCGCAGAUAUCAGGAGGAACACCGGUGGCGAAGGCGGUUCUCUGGGCAGUAACUGACGCUGAGGCGCGAAAGUGUGGGGAGCAAACAGG